GUCACAGGGCUACUAUGAUUGGAGACUCUUACGCUUCUGUAAAUGUUAUCAGCCACAAACACACACUGGAAAUGAUGGUAGGCAUCAGCUAAACACUGAUCAGCCUUCUCGUGGUAGCCAAAACACUGCUGUGCAACCGAAUACAGGAUGGCUAAGUUGCUGAGUGGGUUAAGAACGAUGAGCUGAGCUGAGCUGAGAUGAAUUUCCUCUCAGCCAUUUGGAGAUGCCUGAUCAUGCUUCUUACCUUUUCCAUCCAGCGUUGCCCUCUGCGGCCAGCUGGUUGCCAGGUCUUCAACCCCCUCGGCUACCUGACAGUAAAGCCAGAUGCAACCUUCCUCCUGGGCUCCAACCUGACAGUGUACUGCCACAUCACAAAUAAUCCGGGGAAAAAAGAAUGGUAGUAAAGCAAUACCUUAAAAUUUAUAAGUUAGUGUCCCAAGGUAGAAGGAGAUUGUGCUUCUUCUGCUCUCUUGAUGCAUGUGCAGUUGAACUCGUUAUGAAGAAAUUUAAAAGUUAACUUUGUGGUAUAUCUGUUUGCAAUUCAGGGUCUCAGAGCUUAUCACCCCUGAAGGUACUUCACUUGAUUUAUAGUUCAUAAUUGAGAUUGCAUGUCAGUGCAAAUCACCUUAAUCAGCCACACCUGAGAAGACUGACUAAAAGGCCUGUUGAAGAAGCCUGGGGAAUGACUUUUCCACUGCAGAAGCUCACCAUGGCUCACCUGUUUUUCUGUCCCUUCUUGUAAAAUAAAUACUUUUUGAAACUCCA